rnacentral:rRNA from 1 species
AGCGAACGCUGGCGGCAGGCCUAACACAUGCAACUCGAACGAACUCUUCGGAGUUAGUGGCGGACGGGUGAGUAACACGUGGGAACGUGCCUUUUGGUUCGGAAUAACUCAGGGAAACUUGUGCUAAUACCGAAUGUGCCCUUCGGGGGAAAGAUUUAUCGCCAUUAGAGCGGCCCGCGUCUGAUUAGCUAGUUGGUGAGGUAACGGCUCACCAAGGCGACGAUCAGUAGCUGGUCUGAGAGGAUGACCAGCCACACUGGGACUGAGACACGGCCCAGACUCCUACGGGAAGCAGCAGUGGGGAAUCUUGCGCAAUGGGCGAAAGCCUGACGCAGCCAUGCCGCGUGAAUGAUGAAGGUCUUAGGAUUGUAAAAUUCUUUCACCGGGGACGAUAAUGACGGUACCCGGAGAAGAAGCCCCGGCUAACUUCGUG